AUUGAAAUAGCUUAACACAAAGCGUAACACUGAAGCUGUUAAAAUGGACUUUCCUUUCAAUA
rnacentral:tRNA from 1 species